rnacentral:rRNA from 1 species
GACAACAUUCAAAUCACGUUCAAAGUACUAAUUCUCGUCUGAUCACUGAAGUCAAGCAAUGUUGAGUAUGAAUUCUUAGAUGAGGGUGAUCGCUUGGGAAUACCGUGUGAUAUUGUCC